UCCACCUCAGCCUGAGAAAACAUCCUCUGAGGAGUGGGAACGGAGAGAGAAGUCAUUCCAUCUGAAUUUGUGUCUGCAAGCAGCUCUCUGUGGGAGUGAAUCUUUACUCACCACUGUCAGGACACUGCUUACACUCUCCAGUGUUGACAAUGAAUCUGAUCUCCUCUUAGAUCUGUACUCUCAUUUUAGAGACUAUGAGUCACAAACUGGCAGGAGUCUCAUUUCAACACUACUGCCUGUUUACCACUCAGCUCCUGCAGUCUGGUCCAUAGACCUCUCAAAGAGAAAGGCCUCCAUCUUCCUAGAGGUGCUGAAACUCCAAACACAGAAGAGACCAGUAGAGCUGAGAGGCUGGUCAGAUGAAGAGAGUGAAGUCAGGAGUUUCCUUCAGUGUCUGCCCUACAUCUCACAACUGAGAUUUGAUCAGGAGGUAAAACAAAAGAAGUCAAACACAAUAAUCCAGUUCCUGGUGACUCUCAGCGUAGCAGCAGCUGAACGUGAUUCAACCUCAGGAGAGGGUUUAUUUAAGCUCUUAUCAUCUGCCUGCCGCUGCUACUUCUUUCCUUAUGAGAACUAUGCUGAUGAUAAUGCCAUUCAGAGUGAUUUCUUGCUGGAUCUAUACCUCCAUGCUCAGGCCUGUGAAGCUGAAACAGCCAAGAGUCUCCUUUCAACAUUGAAGCAGAUUUACCAUUUAGUUCCUGCAGUCUGGUCCAUAGACCUCUCAGAGGGAAAGGCCUCCAUCUUCCUAGAAGUGGUGAAACUCCAAACACAGAAGAAACCAGUAGAGCUGAGAGGCUGGUCAGAUGAAGAGAGUGAAGUGAGGAGUUUCCUUCAGUGUCUGCCCUACAUCUCACAACUGAGAUUUGAUUUCAACUUGAUAUAUAAAG